UACUCUAACAGGUUAUAUGGAGAUAUGAUGGCAAAAAACCAGAUACCUUAGGGCCAAAUACCCGGCUCUAUAAAUGGAUCCCCCAGAAUGACCUUCUUGGUCAUCCAAAAACCAAAGCCUUUAUAACUCAUGGUGGAACCAAUGGCAUCUAUGAGGCGAUCUACCAUGGGAUCCCUAUGGUGGGCCUUCCAAUGUUUGGGGAUCAACCUGAGAACAUUGCUCACAUGAAGACCAAGGGAGCAGCUGUCAGAUUGGACUUCAAUACCAUGUCUAGUGCAGAUUUUCUCAAUGCAUUGAAGACUGUCAUUAAUGACCCUUCAUAUAAGGAGAAUACUAUGAAGUUAUCAAGAAUUCAUCAUGACCAACUAGUGAAACCUCUAGAUCGA